rnacentral:lncRNA from 1 species
CAACUUCUCCAGCGAGGAUACGUUUUUGGUUUUGUUUUGUUUUGUUUUAGUAAGUGGAUGUUAAGCCAGACAUAACCACUAGGGGACAGUAAAAACAACCGUUAAGGUCAGUAUCCCUCCAAGACCCCACCUACUCUCACCUGAGGCCAAGGUGGGCGGUGCCUCACCUGGCUUUCACCUAGCUCUCUCUUAACCACUUCCUGCCUAAUCUGAAGUACCUCCCCGAGAUGGAGUCAUCCUUAGUAGAACCGGGGGCCAAUUUUGAUCGGAGGGAGGGUGUCCAGUCCCGGAGUGGGAGUGAAGUCAUGGUUUCCAGAAACUCAGACCCUUGUCCUUGUCCUAGCUGGAGAGGUUAUAGAGUUCUCUGCUUCAGAUGGCUAGGUCUCUUUUCUAAGCAGUGAAAGCCAAGUGGGGGGGGGGUCACUGCGCUGGAACCUCUGGGACAAGCUUUAGUGGAGACUGUUCAAGUAGCUUCAAAAUCCAGCCUUCCGCCUCCCUGCAGCCAUUUAUCUGUCAAGGGGCUUCGGCCAGAGGGAGGGAGGGACGUAGCCCACCAGUGAAGAGAAGACGACAGGAUGGGAGCAGGAGGUAGGCAGUUAAGACGGGGUUCGAGAGCGGAUGGCUUUCGGCAGCUCUCAGGUACCGGCUUUGCGUGUCGUUCCUCCUGUUACUGGCAGCUUUUCAGGGCUCACAUCAGCCGAAGUUCCGGGAUUGCGUUCCGGGCCUUAACGUGUUAAACUGUGGGAGUGGGGUCCGGAGUCCCUCCCUCCCUCCUUCCCGAAUCAAGUGUCACCACCUCCAAGUCCACCAGACUGGCACGCUAGGAGUUAAGUCUGCCCGCAAUCUGCAAGACUGGAGCCGGAGAGGGGGGGAAAGGAGGGGGGAGGGGGAGAGCAAGGAGCUGGGGGAAGCAGACUGCAGGGAGACAGCGCCUGGAACCCCCUCCCCAGGGACCUGGCCCUGGGCCCCCAGCCCCAAAAGGGGCCCUGCCCUCCUCGGGGUCGCGCUCUCUUCCCCCCCCGCCCUGCCCCCGCCCUCCAGCUUUGUGUCCCCAGGAGGGUGGGCUGCAGGAUUUCCAGCCAAGCCUUGGCUGCCUGCUCAGUUUUUCCAAACCCUCCAGUUGGAGAAGGCGGGAGCCUUGUCAGGAUAAGAGUCCCUCCCCCUCUGCCCCUGCCGGCCCCCUGGUCCAGCUUGGAGUUUCCUGUCCCCGCAGCUUUCCAAACUCCUUUCCCUUUCCGACCCUGGCCCCAGCGCCCCCUAGCCCCACCUCUGUUGGUUCCCAAGUUCCAAGUUCAGGUUGGAGGGGCCAGGUGGACGCCACAAUCUUAGCGAGGCGCUGGUAAAGCCUCACUCUGCCGGCCGACCCAGAGACCUGCGGGGCGCCGGCCUGACUCCCGGCCUGGGCCCGCCCCGUCCCAGGACUCGGCCUCUGGCCACCAGGGAAGGUGGCUCUUGGGGUCUCCCGCUCCCGGAAGGAGGCGGUGCCGGGGACGUCCGCACAGCUGGGCGGUAAGGUCGGUUCGGCAGAUGCCAGGCCCUAAGGCAUACUUCAAGGAGGGGCAGUGUUCCCAGCGCUGGCACGGCUCUGUCCAGAGAGUCUAUUAUAUAAUAAUCACCAUCUAUCAGGAAGCCAGGCUGCUGGAGAGAGUGGGUAAGCCAGGAUGCCCGAUCCGCGCCUCAUCCAAGGCUCAGAAAGGUGUCUCCAUCAAGCUACGCACAGUGUGGGGCAGAGCCCAGUGGUCGGAUGACGAUGAUGAUGGUGACGGGAGGGGGAUUCCAGC